rnacentral:rRNA from 1 species
UACGUAGGAGGCAAGCGUUGUCCGGAAUUACUGGGCGUAAAGCGCGUGUAGGUGGUGGGACAAGUCUGCUGUGAAAGCGCCUGGCUUAACCGGGCGAGGUCGGCGGAAACUGUCCGGCUAGAGGACGGUAGAGGGGGGUGGAAUUCCCGGUGUAGUGGUGAAAUGCGUAGAGAUCGGGAGGAACACCUGUGGCGAAGGCGGCCCCCUGGGCCGGCCCUGACACUGAGACGCGAAGGCGUGGGGAGCGAACGGG